CCUACGGGAGGCAGCAGUGGGGAAUCUUGCGCAAUGGGCGAAAGCCUGACGCAGCCAUGCCGCGUGAAUGAUGAAGGUCUUAGGAUUGUAAAAUUCUUUCAGUAGGGACGAUAAUGACGGUACCUACAGAAGAAGCCCCGGCUAACUUCGUGCCAGCAGCCGCGGUAAUACGAAGGGGGCUAGCGUUGCUCGGAAUUACUGGGCGUAAAGGGAGCGUAGGCGGGUUAUCAAGUUGGAGGUGAAAGCCCAGGGCUCAACCUUGGAAUUGCCUUCAAAACUGAUAGCCUAGAGUAUGAUAGAGGUAUGUGGAACUCCGAGUGUAGAGGUGAAAUUCGUAGAUAUUCGGAAGAACACCAGUGGCGAAGGCGACAUACUGGGUCAUGACUGACGCUGAGGCUCGAAAGCGUGGGGAGCAAACAGGAUUAGAUACCCUGGUAGUCCACGCUGUAAACGAUGAUUGCUAGUUGUCGGACGGCANGCGUCGGUGCGCAGCUACGACAUAAGACAACUACCGCCGUCGGGGUAGGUACGGUCGGCGAACGAAGUUAAAACGUAACGAAAGGAAAGUUAGUACGGCGUGAGACGUGCCGACGGACGACGACGAGGGAGGAGG
rnacentral:rRNA from 1 species